UACGUAGGUGGCAAGCGUUAUCCGGAAUUAUUGGGCGUAAAGCGCGCGCAGGCGGUUUCUUAAGUCUGAUGUGAAAGCCCACGGCUCAACCGUGGAGGGUCAUUGGAAACUGGGGAACUUGAGUGCAGAAGAGAAAAGCGGAAUUCCACGUGUAGCGGUGAAAUGCGUAGAGAUGUGGAGGAACACCAGUGGCGAAGGCGACACGCUGGGCCGUACCUGACGCUGAUACGCGACAGCAUGGGGAGCGAACGGG
rnacentral:rRNA from 1 species